CAGAAUGCAGAUAGAACCAUAAAAUUCCAUUGGGAGUUUUAUUUGAUGAAUAAACUCUAUUUUCACUUCAUGUUGUCUUCAGUAUCUUCCGACAGGUCUUCAUUUGCAAAAAAAUUUGGAGGAUUCAGAAUACACAUAUAUAGGAUAAACAGAACAUGGACAGAAAAGGAGAGAUUAAAAAUAAGGGACUCUGUUCUAAUGGCAGACAAAGAAUUGGAAACCAG